rnacentral:lncRNA from 1 species
UUAGAAAUACAGUGCCCCGGUCAGCCUCCGGAACAGCUAAAAUGGGAAAAUCUGACAAUGCCAAGUGCUGGCAAGAGAGGGAGCAACUGGAAGGCUUGUACACUACUUUUGUGGAGGUGCAAAACUCACUGCCACGUGGAUAUCUGCUUUCUUAUUUGUUCUGGGUUUGGUUGGUUGUUUUUGAGGCAGAGCCUCACUACCUAGCACUGGCUAACCUUGAAUUCACCACCUAGACCAGGCUGGCCUCAAGCUCCCAGAGAUCUGCCUGCCUCUGCCCUCUGAGUGCUGCCACACCAUGCACAACCUGGAAAUCUGCUUUAAAGGAUCCAGUGCCCAGUACUUUCACACCCAAGAGGCUUACUGAACUUCUGUCUUCUGUUCGUAGCAGUGCUGUUUGGAGUAGCCUUAAGUGGAGACUGUACUGAUAACCUGUAGGUCAUUAAAGGGUUAUAUAAAUUGUGGCAUACUCACUAUUGGAUUGACACUGAAUAAUUUACAGCCACAUACAAAGUAUAUGGGUGACUCUUACCAAAGGACUUGGAGCAAAAGAAGUCAGAUAAGAGCUAGGAACCAAUCGAUCAGUCUGGAAACUUCGAGAUUCUCAGAAGUUGAAAGCCAGCUUGGGCUAUUUAGUGAGUACCAGCUUGGACUACUUCACACACACACUUGCACAAAUGAAUGAAUGAAAGAAUGAGGAACUGCUGAAGAUUGAGGGCAGGAUGGCCCCAAGGGAAAACUGAUGGAGGCUGUUGAGAGGUACGGAUGCCUACGUGCAUCUAGGGCACACUCCUGAGGGCCUGUCCCAUCUGCCCUUCCACAGACCCUCCUCUGA